rnacentral:rRNA from 1 species
UACAGAGGGGGCAAGCGUUGUUCGGAAUUACUGGGCGUAAAGGGCGCGUAGGCGGCCGCCUAAGUCAGACGUGAAAUCCCUCGGCUCAACCGGGGAACUGCGUCUGAUACUGGGUGGCUUGAAUCCGGGAGAGGGAUGCGGAAUUCCAGGUGUAGCGGUGAAAUGCGUAGAUAUCUGGAGGAACACCGGUGGCGAAGGCGGCAUCCUGGACCGGUAUUGACGCUGAGGCGCGAAAGCCAGGGGAGCAAAGCGGGAUUAAGCAUGACCCGAGUAGUCC